UACGUAGGGGGCAAGCGUUGUCCGGAUUUAUUGGGCGUAAAGAGCGUGUAGGCGGCCAUUCAAGUCAGGGGUGAAAGCCCAAGGCUCAACCUUGGAAUUGCCUUUGAUACUGUUUGGCUUGAGACCGGAAGAGGUCGGCGGAACUGCGAGUGUAGAGGUGAAAUUCGUAGAUAUUCGCAAGAACACCGAUAGCGAAGGCAGCUUACCAAGCUGUAACUGACGCUGAGGCACGAAAGUGUGGGGAUCAAACAGG
rnacentral:rRNA from 1 species